AUCAGUAGCUCAGCUGGAUAGAGCAACAGCCUUCUAAGCUGUGGGUCAAGGGUUCGAAUCCCUUCUGAU
rnacentral:tRNA from 1 species